GUCUGUAGUCAUACGACCCUGAACAUGCCAGAUCUCAUGAUCUUGGAAGCUAAGCAGGGUCGGGCCUGAUUAGCACUUGGAUGGCAGAUA
rnacentral:rRNA from 1 species